CCAAAAUAGUGCCGUUCGUUGGUGUUUCGCUUGUGCUGGUUUGUGCUGCAAAAAUGGUACCGAUUGUGCCGGCUGCUACGGUUUUGCAGAUAUUACACAUUUAAUUUAUAGCGAAGACGUCACCCAGCCUCACGUCACUGUAUUUUGUCGCAAAUUUCAAGCUCCUGGAAUGCUCCUGGUGCAGGACGAAUACAAGGUCAUUAUAGAUCUCCCAGGCAUAUGAAGUCCUCCUGCAGUAUGCCACAUAAUGCCCGAGAGAAUCCUGUGUCAGUCCUGGUUCAAAGCCAAUGACUGCUCUCAAAGUAAAGGUCUUCUCUUUUAGCUCCAGACUGGAGGGAAAUUCAAGCAAGGCAACUUCCUUGCAACUGCUACCAAGACGGACACUGGGAAGGAUUUCCAAUUGGCCUGAGGCAGAGAGAGUCAGGAAGGCUGAGUCCCUCUUCAGCAGCAGUCUGAAGAGAAGCCAUGCCACAGGUCUGCAGGACAGCAACGUUUGGACAAACAAGUGAAACUUGCCUUGUUACUUGUUGGCUUAAACUGCAGUACUGUGAGGAGCAUUGUUUUAUCAAAUAAACACUUGGGAUAUUCCUCAUUGCGCUCUCAAUUACAGUGGAGAUGUGGCAUUGCGCAUCAAUUUGGAGAGCACCAGAGGUCAGGAGGACAGGUUUGAAUAUUUCCCCCAGCAGUUAUGCCCUCUGUGAGUAUACCUAUGGGUUCACACUCUGUGUUGUGAUGGUUUUCACCAGGUGGAGGAAUUGGUUCCCACGUUCAUAGUUCAGAACAGUCUUUUCAAAUGAAAAACUUUCACAGAAAGAACAGCAUAAGCAUUGCAACACAGAAUCAAAUGCACAAGUAUUGAGCACAAACACUUUUGAUGUGCAAAGUUUAACAGGCUGUUGAUGGUUCCCGUUUUUCAACAAUGGUACCUUGACUUUUUUCCAGCCCACUUGUGUGUCAAUAUGCAGCCAUUCAGGACAAGGAGAGAGAUAUGAAGUUAUCUUUCUUUUUUUCGGUGGGACCGCUAAACCUCUCCAGUUUUCAACUGCACUGUCAGUAGAUGCAUCUGGCUGCAGAUUUUUCUCCCCUUUUGUUUACUACUUCAGUUUGAGAAGUACUGCAGACAUUGUCAGGCUCUCUGACGGUCGUGGCAUCACACACAUCGCUCUUUUGUUUUGCAAAGCAAAUCCGCAUGUUUCACUCAAUGAAGGAAAGAUGACGAGCAACAAAGCGGUCCACACGAAUGGGUAGGCUUUCAUGCUUGAAAAGGCCUUUUUUUAUGUUUUUGAACUCUGCUUCAACAGCUGCGGAACUUGCAGUGAUGCUGGCGCUUUUGAAGAGAGGGACCAUUAUUGCUGUCCAGAGUGGCAAGUAACUUCCAAGUCUUGUUAUUUGGGGAAUAAUCUCAGGGAGGAAGUGGGUGUUGUCUCUAUCCCCAUCAGCCAUGGCAAGUGACCUGCUCUCCUCACAUAUUUCUGUCACCCACUCUCGGACAUUAGUCUGGAUGUGCUGAUUUAAUCCAUCACUUGGUUCUUGUCCCUCAACUUCCUCAUCUGAAAUGGGGACAAAUUCCUCUGCGAUUGGCGCUCUCAAGUAUUUCUUGCACCUUUCUGAUGGGAUAGGGGCUCCAGAAUUGUCAUUACCCUCCGUCUCACUCAGUGCCACAAUGGUGAUAGCACGAAGAAGUUCUUUUGCAUGUUGCAAACAUUGUGACUUAAGAAGCUGUGCUAUUGACCUAACAAAGAAAUCCUUAAAACGAGGUCUUUUGUUUUUCAGGCAGUCCCAUCGGCAGAUCAUCUUAAUGCAAUGUGCUACAUCUACCCUGACAAAACAUGGGGGUAGAUGUCCAGGUUGAUUCCCACGUGAAAUGUUAUAGCACUCAUUUAUGUAGCUCUUCAGAUCAGGAUGAGGGGUAAAAGCUUUGACUAGAGCUCCAAGAAUGGCCAGAGAAAAGCCACUCACUGCUUUUUUAGGAACAGAUGCACCUGCAUGGAUCCAUUCCUUCAGCCACUGUGUGAUAGCAUUAACAUCUUUCUUCUCUGACAGCAUCUGCAUGACUGGGACACUGGAGCUGGUAUGCCCUGUCAUAACACCCUGAUACAGGAAGAUAUGGCCAGACAUGCCAUUCGGCCUCAUCAGUUUUUUAACUAUUGAGCCAGUUGCAUCAACACAUAAUAUUGGGUGGGAUUUCUUUAAGCUCUUGUACACAUGCAUUUGUGUUUGACUCCAAUAGUGACAGAAGAACUUGUCAAGUCCAAUGUCUUUGAUGCUGUCACUGUGAGGUGCACUGUAUUUCAACAUCUGCAAUGAUAAAAUUGGAUUUUGGUCACCUAAUGCCAAAUCAUUUUUCUCUUGCUUUGCCUUGCGGACGGUGGCCAAAUUUGGCAGGUGGCUUGGCUCAGGGUCUCCGAAGUCCAUCGAUUUAUUUGCCUGUGAUGCUCGCCAUACAUGUGGUUCCAUCCUGCCCUCACAAAGUUCCUUGGCUACCUGCACACGCAACUGUUCAGAUAGAAACCGCUUUGAGCUACCAGUGUGUAGGGAGUCAUCACUGUUCUUAAUGAAACAGUUCAAUAUUAUUGGACUGUUAAUUUCUGGCUCCCCACUACAAUUAAUGUUGAGAAUGACACUCCUUGCAGUAUCCUCUGAUUUCGAUAUAAUUAUUUGAGACCAAUGGAUAGACCUUGGCUCUUUUAAAAACAAAUGUGCAAGGAGUUUUGACUGUUUUCCAGAUUUGUUCAUUUAGGAUGUGGGUCCAGGUGCCAGGCUUCAAAAUUGUAUAUUCUCUUUUUCGGGUUCAACUGUUCUUAUCUCUGUAUUCAGCCUUUUCCGGAAUAAAUUCCAUCCACUUGUCAAAAGGAAUAUGAAGCUGAAAGGACUGUUCAGGUCCUUAUUCCGAGCUUGCUUCACUGCUAGUUUCAGGAUCAGUUUCAUCAUGACUGAAUCCCAGAGCUGACAAGAUAUUGCGUCUGUUUGUUUUUACAAAGGUGUACAGAGCCUUUGCAGACAUCUUCUUUUCCAACUGGUCACUCAGAUCUGUCCACACAGUAGCGCUUGGAGUGGCUACGUUACCAUUUUCAAGUAUGGCCUCUUUUGAUGAGCAGAGAACUGCAACAAUUAAAUCAUUGUCUACUGCUGGUUGUUUGGGCAUCUAGUUGAAGGACAAAUAUAAAUAUAAUCAGGAUUCAUUGCUUGAAUAAUUAAAAUUACACAUGCGUGAUCAUUAUAAUUGCUAUGCAUGGACGGAAAAAUGAUGCAAAGGGAAAAAUAUUUUGACAUCAAAAUGUAUCAAGCAUGCUUUCUUUAGUAAUUUAGUUUUCUUGGUCAGUGCAAAUUACACAUGUAUAAUAAGACAAUGUUAGCCAACUAACUAUUCAGACUACCUAGGGUGUUUUUAAUUCUAUAUUGUAGGAACUUUUUUUUUUUACAUUUUACUUACAUUGGUCAAUGGUCACUUCCCAGAAAAAGACGCUUUCUGUCACUCACUGUUAUUAAAUCUUCGGAGAUAGUUGUGCAUUUGUCGCUUGAAAAAGUUGCACGUCUUUGUUUUUCGCCACCCUGUUGCGAUAUGUCUUACAGGUGCGCUUGAUUUGGUUCCCCCGUGAGAUUUUGUUUCCCCUGCCGCGGGAGCGCGCACACCUUAUUUGGAAACCGAAAAACCGAUGUCGUACGGCGUCAGCACUACGUUGUUUUCAAUAAAAACAUGAAGAACUCA